UCAAAGAGCCUUGGAGAGUUGAAGUCUGACUGCCAAUUUCUGUCAGAGAUGGUGCAUGCCCAGUUGCAAAAGACUUCCUAUAAAAUAACUAAAAUCCUCAGCCUUGUGGAUUUUUAAGAAUUAUCCCAGCAUGGAAAACUAAACAUAAUUGUUAACCAUUUAUAUUCUGGCUUUCUAAGGAAUGUUUGUAGUUUAGUUAUAGAUUCCAUUAACCUUUGUAUUGUACAUGCACAUACAGCCAUGCCCACACAAAUACAUGAACACUUCCCUGUUUUCCUUUUUUUUCUUAAUAAUUCUUUUCUUUUCCAUGUGUCUUCUUUUUAAAAUAUGAAUCCUUCUCUUCUUCCAUUACAAUCUGGAGUAGGUUGUGGUUGCCAACCAUAAAGCUUUUCUUCAAGUACAGCUACCUCCAGAAUACCAUAGUGGUGGUAUGAUGGGCAAAGCUUCAAGUGGCAACUAUCACUUCAUUCCAUACACUGUAUCAUCAUGCGAUGAUUAUUUUUGUUGUGAAAGUGAUGCACAGCGGAGAGCAUCUGAGUACAUCCAACCUAAUUGGGACACCAUCCUGGGACCACUUUGUGUUCCACUAAUGGACAAAUUUAUCAGCCUCCUCAAGGACAUCCAUAUCACAUCAUGUACAUAUUAUAAGGAAAGUCUGUUAAAUGACAUCAGAAAAGCUAGAGAGAAAUAUCAAGGAGAAGAACUUGCAAAAGAGCUGGCUAGGAUUAAACUUCGUAUGGAUAAUACUGAAGUCCUGACUUCUGACAUUAUAAUCAAUUUACUCCUAUCCUAUAGAGAUAUCCAGGAUUAUGAUGCUAUGGUGAAACUGGUGGAGACACUGGAAAUGCUCCCAACUUGUGAUCUGGCUGAUCAGCACAAUAUCAAAUUUCACUAUGCCUUUGCACUGAAUCGAAGGAACAAUAUGGGUGACCGGGAGAAGGCACUGCAAGUGAUGCUGCAGGUCUUGCAGAUGUGUGAUCAUCCUGCACCAGACAUGUUUUGCCUAUGUGGGAGGAUUUACAAGGACAUAUUCCUUGAUUCGGAUUGUAAAGACAAUAGUAGCAGAGAUAAAGCCAUUGAAUGGUAUCGUAAAGGGUUUGAGUUCCAGUCAACUCUGUAUUCUGGAAUUAACCUUGCAGUUUUGCUGAUUGUUUCAGGGCAGCAAUUUGAAACUUCCAUGGAACUGAGGAAAAUAGGAGUACGGUUAAAUAGUUUAUUGGGAAGAAAAGGGAAUCUGGAAAAAAUGAACAAUUACUGGGAUGUUGGACAGUUUUUCACUGUAAGCAUGCUGGCCAGUGACAUUGGUAAAGCUGUCCAAGCAGCAGAGAGACUUUUCAAAUUGAAACCACCCAUUUGGUAUUUGAAAUCCUUGGUACAAAAUCUGAUAUUAAUUCAACAUUUCAAGAAACUGACCAUAGAACAUUCUCCUAGGCAAGAAAGACUGAACUUCUGGUUGGAUAUAAUUGUUGAGGCAACCAAAGAAAAAAACAAUGGGUCAAGAUUCCCAGUAUUAGUGAUAGAGCCAACCAAGAUAUAUCAGCCUGCGUAUGUUUCAAUCAAUAAUGAAGCUGAUGAGAGGACAGUUUCCCUUUGGCAUGUGUCCCCUGCAGAAAUGAAACAAAUUCAUGAAUGGAACUUUACAGCUUCUUCUAUUAGAGGAAUAAGCAUAUCUAAAUUUGAUGAACGGUGUUGUUUUCUCUAUGUCCAUGACAACUCUGAUGACUUUCAAAUAUAUUUUUCUACUGAGUAUCAAUGUACUAGAUUCUGUGCUUUGGUUAAGGAGAUCUUAACUGAUGCUGUAGGAAAUACCCUGGAACUUGAAGGAGAGAUUGAUGCUGAUACAUUGGAAUAUGAGUAUGACUAUGAUGAGAAUGGAGAUAGAGUUGUAUUAGGGAAAGGAACCUAUGGGAUAGUUUAUGCUGGAAGAGAUCUUAGCAAUCAAGUUCGAAUAGCCAUCAAAGAAAUACCAGAAAAAGAUAGCAGAUAUUCUCAGCCACUGCAUGAAGAAAUUGCUCUUCACAAAUAUCUAAAACACCGAAAUAUUGUUCAGUAUCUUGGUUCUGUUUCUGAAGAUGGAUAUAUUAAAAUCUUCAUGGAACAAGUGCCUGGCGGAAGUCUUUCUGCACUCCUUAGAUCAAAAUGGGGACCAAUGAAAGAACCCACCAUUAAGUUUUAUACCAAGCAGAUACUAGAAGGCUUGAAAUAUCUCCAUGAGAAUCAGAUUGUACAUAGAGACAUAAAAGGAGACAAUGUUUUAGUUAAUACGUACAGUGGAGUAGUAAAGAUUUCUGAUUUUGGAACUUCUAAACGCCUUGCAGGAGUCAAUCCAUGUACAGAAACAUUUACAGGUACUUUGCAGUACAUGGCUCCAGAGAUCAUUGAUAAGGGUCCUCGAGGCCAUGGAGCACCAGCUGAUAUUUGGUCCCUGGGAUGUACUAUCAUUGAAAUGUCAACAGGAAAGCCUCCAUUUCAUGAACUUGGGGAGCCACAAGCAGCGAUGUUCAAAGUUGGGAUGUUCAAAAUUCACCCUGAAAUCCCUGAAUCACUUUCUGUUGAAGCUAGAUCUUUCAUCUUGCUCUGCUUUGAACCUGAUCCAAAUAAGCGUGUUACAGCAUCUGAUUUACUUAAAGAUCCAUUCUUAAAACAAGUGAACAAAGGCAAGAAAAACAGAAUUGCAUUUAAGCCUUCAGAUUAUAAUCGUAGCACAUCUCUGCCUCUGCCAGUCCAAGGAGAGCAGGCUGGCAGUAGCAGUAGUGAGCAUGGCUCUGUCUCACCAGACUCCGAUGUGCAGUCUGAUAUGUUCUUUGAAAAGGCAAAACGUUCUCUUUCUGAAGUUCAAUCAAACAGUCCCAUUUCCCAUUUGUUAAGUGUUCCUGAUGACAGCUCAGUUCCAGAUGAGCGAAGUUCUCCCCCUUCCCUUGAGGAAAAAGAUGCUGGCCUUUUCUUACUACGAAAGGACAGUGAACGUCGUGCAAUUCUAUAUAAAAUACUUAAGGAGGAGCAGAAUCAAGUAGCUUCUAAUCUACAAGAAUGUGUAGCACAGAGUUCUGAAGAAUUGCAUCUUUCAGUUGCUCACAUUAAGCAGAUAAUUGGGAUUUUAAGAGAUUUUAUACGCUCUCCUGAACACAGAAUUAUGGCAUCAACGAUAUCGAAGCUGAAAAUGGAUCUUGAUUUUGACAGUACUUCAAUCAAUCAGAUUCACCUAGUAUUGUUUGGAUUUCAAGAUGCAGUGAAUAAAGUGUUAAGGAAUCAUUUAAUCAGACCUCACUGGAUGUUUGCAAUGGAUAAUAUAAUACGGCGUGCAGUUCAGGCAGCUAUCACUAUUCUUAUUCCUGAGCUUCGAGCUCAUUUUGAACCAGCAUCAGAAACUGAAGGAGUAGACAAAGAUGCAGAUGAAGUUGAGGAUGAUUACCAGCAAGCUGAACAAGGAAGACAAGAGGAAUCAGUUACUGCUGGAGGGUGCACGCUCACUUCUUCCACGUCCCUGGAUGCUGAACAGAAACUUAGUUUGCGGUUAAAUAAAUUAAAACAGCAAACAAACAGGUUACUGGAAAACCUAGUACAGAGGGAAAGGGAAUAUCAGAAACUCCUUCAGCAAAUAUUGCAGCAAAAAAUUCAAGAUUUGCAUCUCCUUCAACUCCAGUUAAAAACUACUGAAAUUCAACCGUCAUCAUCUGCUUUUCAGCACAAUGCUGAUGAAGAACUUAUCAAGUGGUUAAAACAACAAAGAGCUGAUUCAGAUGCAAUUGAUAGGUUUGUUCAAGAGGACUAUACACUCAGCGAUGUUCUAAACAGUAUCACAAAAGAUGACUUGCAACUGCUUAGACUCCGUGGUGGACUUGUCUGUCGCAUCUGGAAUGCAAUAUUAAAACACAGAAAGCAAAAUACAGUGUUGGGAAUGGAAGUUUAACGUUUCACUUUUGCCAGAUGCUAAUGGACUGAAAGAAAGAAAAAGUACACAUUCCAAAUAAGUUGUUUUAUACACUGAUCGCCUUGCAUGUUUUGCACAAAAAACAUUAAAAAGCUCUCUUUAAACGCCUAAGAGCAGGGGCCACCCUUGCCUGAUGGAAUGACUUGCGCCCAAGAGGGAAGAAGCCACCCUCCUCCAUACCCUCUCCUGCCGUAAGUCUAUAGGAGAUGCUUCCUUUACUUGGGUUUAGCUGCCAUAGUUUAAUUGGGAUGGGGGUUCUAAGAAACCCAGGCCCUAAGUCAUGUAGGCUUUACAGGUAAUAAUCAGUACCCUGAACUGCACAUAGAAACCAGUAAUCAAUGUGGCUCCUGUUAUAGUAGUGUUAUUUGACAACACUGAUUGAGGCAGCUGCAUUUUGUACCAGCUGAACUUUCUGUUUUCAAAGGCAGUGGUAUGCAGAUCAACUUGUAGUAAUGCAGGUGCAAAGUGACAAGGGCAUGAGUAACAUCUUCAAAGUAUUCUGUUCUAUGUAAGGCUGUAGCUG